AUGACUCAUCAAAAGCGUGAAGCCAGUUCCAGCAAUGAAGAUUGGGUAUCAAAACGCCCAAAAGGUGCUGCCACUUCUACUGAAAAGGAUUGUCAAGUAGAGACUGCUGGUUCUCAAGAAAUGAAUGGUGAAAAGAGAGACACCCCUCAAAAUGGAAGCAACUUGCCGCUAGACCCAUGCAUCUCGGAUGAGAAAUCCACAACCAUCUUGGAAGUUCCAAGUCAGCAAGAGAUGAUACUAACUAGUGUUGAAGCCGAUGCUGCAGAAGACAAGGGCUGCAGGCAUACAAUGGAGGAUGCCUGGGUGGUGCUUCCUGAUGCUAGCAUGGGAUCUCCUGGAAAUUUGAGAUCUGCACAUUUUGCAAUAUAUGAUGGGCAUGGUGGCCGCUUGGCCGCGGAGUAUGCACAGAAGCACUUACACCCGCAUGUUAUUGCUGCAGGAUUACCACGUGAGUUGAUGAAUGUUAAAGUGGCAAAGAAGGCCAUUAUUGAAGGUUUCCGUAAAGCUGAUGAAUCACUACUGCAAGAAAGUGCUAAAGGAAACUGGCAAGAUGGCGCAACAGCUGUAUGUGUUUGGGUUUUGGGACAGACGGUUUUAGUUGCGAAUGCUGGGGAUGCUAAAGCAGUAUUAGCUCGUUCUACUUCAACUGAUGGUGAAGGUGCGGUGGCUGACACCAAAAGUCCACUGAAAGCUAUUGUUUUGACAAGAGAACACAAAGCCAUCUUUCCACAAGAACGCUCGAGAAUCCAGAAGGCUGGAGGUUCUGUUGGUCCCAAUGGAAGACUACAAGGGCGCAUUGAAGUAUCUAGAGCUCUUGGAGAUCGUCACUUUAAGAAGGUGGGGUUGAUUGCAACACCAGAUGUCCAUUCUUUUGAACUAACAGUGAAGGACCAUUUCAUCAUUCUUGGGUGUGAUGGCUUGUGGGGAGUGUUUGGGCCAAGUGACGCUGUUGAAUUUGUCCAGAAGCAAUUGAAGGAGACGUCCUCAGCCACGCUCGCAGUGCGGCGCCUGGUGAAGGAGGCUGUCCGCGAGAGGAGGUGCAAGGAUAACUGCACUGCUGUUCUGAUCGUCUUCAAGCACUAG
rnacentral:rRNA from 1 species